UGGCUCAGGACGAACGCUGGCGGCGUGCCUAACACAUGCAAGUCGAACGGAGUAGUUGGGAGCUUGCUUCCGACUGCUUAGUGGCGGACGGGUGAGUAACGCGUGAGUAACCUGCCUUUCAGAGGGGGAUAACGUUUUGAAAAGAACGCUAAUACCGCAUGACAUCAUGAAGCCGCAUGGUUUUGUGAUCAAAGGAGCAAUCCGCUGAAAGAUGGACUCGCGUCCGAUUAGCCAGUUGGCGGGGUAACGGCCCACCAAAGCAACGAUCGGUAGCCGGACUGAGAGGUUGAACGGCCACAUUGGGACUGAGACACGGCCCAGACUCCUACGGGAGGCAGCAGUGGGGGAUAUUGCACAAUGGGGGAAACCCUGAUGCAGCAACGCCGCGUGAAGGAAGAAGGUCUUCGGAUUGUAAACUUUUGUCCUUGGUGAAGAUAAUGACGGUAGCCAAGGAGGAAGCUCCGGCUAACUACGUGCCAGCAGCCGCGGUAAUACGUAGGGAGCGAGCGUUGUCCGGAUUUACUGGGUGUAAAGGGUGCGUAGGCGGAAGAGCAAGUCAGUAGUGAAAUCCAUGGGCUUAACCCGUGAACUGCUAUUGAAACUGUUCUUCUUGAGUGAAGUAGAGGUAGGCGGAAUUCCCGGUGUAGCGGUGAAAUGCGUAGAGAUCGGGAGGAACACCAGUGGCGAAGGCGGCCUACUGGGCUUUAACUGACGCUGAGGCACGAAAGCAUGGGUAGCAAACAGGAUUAGAUACCCUGGUAGUCCAUGCCGUAAACGAUGAAAGUAGGUGUGGGGGGACUGACCCCCUCCGUGCCGCAGUAACACAAUA
rnacentral:rRNA from 1 species